rfam:Schistosoma mansoni strain Puerto Rico chromosome 1, complete genome
GCACUGCUGAGGAGUCCCACAAUAGGACGAAACGGUAUUCCAGUGC